rnacentral:rRNA from 1 species
AGCAUAUCAAUAAGCGGAGGAAAAGAAACCAACAGGGAUUGCCCUAGUAACGGCGAGUGAAGCGGCAACAGCUCAAAUUUGAAAUCUGGCCCUCUUUUGGGGGUCCGAGUUGUAAUUUGCAGAGGGUGCUUUGGCAUAGGCGGCGGUCUAAGUUCCUUGGAACAGGACAUCGCAGAGGGUGAGAAUCCCGUACGUGGGCGCCUGCCUUUGCCGUGUAAAGCCCCUUCGACGAGUCGAGUUGUUUGGGAAUGCAGCUCUAAAUGGGAGGUAAAUUUCUUCUAAAGCUAAAUACCGGCCAGAGACCGAUAGCGCACAAGUAGAGUGAUCGAAAGAUGAAAAGUACUUUGGAAAGAGAGUCAAACAGCACGUGAAAUUGUUGAAAGGGAAGCGCUUGCAGCCAGACUUGCCCGCAGUUGCUCACCCAGGCUUUUGCCCGGGGCACUCUUCUGCGGGCAGGCCAGCAUCAGUUUGGGCGGUUGGAUAAAGGCCUCUGUCACGUAUCUCCCUCCGGGGAGACCUUAUAGGGGAGGCGCAAUGCAACCAGCCCGGACUGAGGUCCGCGCAUCUGCUAGGAUGCUGGCGUAAUGGCUGUAAGCGGCCCGUCUUGAAACACGGACCAAGGAGUCUAACAUCUAUGCGAGUGUUUGGGUGUCAAGCCCGGGCGCGCAAUGAAAGUGAACGGAGGUGGGAACCCUUUCGGGUGCACCAUCGACCGAUCCUGAAGUCUUCGGAUGGAUUUGAGUAAGAGCAUAGCUGUUGGGACCCGAAAGAUGGUGAACUAUGCUUGAAUAGGGUGAAGCCAGAGGAAACUCUGGUGGAGGCUCGCAGCGGUUCUGACGUGCAAAUCGAUCGUCAAAUUUGGGCAUAGGGGCGAAAGACUAAUCGAACCAUCUAGUAGC